rnacentral:rRNA from 1 species
UACAGAGACUGCAAGCGUUAUUCGGAUUCACUGGGCGUAAAGGGUGCGCAGGCGGCCGUGUGUGUAAGGUGUGAAAUCCCGGGGCUCAACCCCGGAACUGCGCCUUAAACUACAUGGCUAGAGUAUUGGAGAGGGUAGUGGAAUUCACGGUGUAGCAGUGAAAUGCGUAGAUAUCGUGAGGAACACCAGAGGCGAAGGCGACUACCUGGACAAUUACUGACGCUCAGGCACGAAAGCGUGGGGAG